rnacentral:rRNA from 1 species
UACGUAGGGUGCGAGCGUUAAUCGGAAUUACUGGGCGUAAAGGGCGCGUAGGCGGCCUGCUAAGUCGAACGUGAAAUCCCCGGGCUCAACCCGGGAACUGCGUCCGAUACUGGAUGGCUUGAAUCCGGGAGAGGGAUGCAGAAUUCCAGGUGUAGCGGUGAAAUGCGUAGAUAUCUGGAGGAAUACCGGUGGCGAAGGCGGCAUCCUGGACCAUAACUGACGCUGAGGCGCGAAAGCUAGGGGAGCAAACGGG